rnacentral:lncRNA from 1 species
GACACACUUCAUCGACAGACGGUACUAUAACUUCAAGUGAUCCUGGAUUAGAAAUUCUGAAUAUGGCUUCUUGUGACCUUGACAGAAACUCGCUCUGUAAGAAAGAGGAGGAUACAAGAUCAGCUUCUCCCACGAUAGAGGCCCAAGGCACAAGUCCAGCUCAUGAUAAUAUUGCAUUCCAAGACUCUACGAGUAAGGAUAAAACCAUAUUAAAUCUGGAAGCCAAAGAGGAACCAGAAACAAUAGAAGAACAUAAAAAAGAACAUGCUUCAGGAGACUCUGUGGUUUCCCCUCUUCCUGUAACCACUGUGAAAUCGGUUAACCUUAGACAAAGUGAGAACACUUCUGCUAAUGAGAAGGAGGUGGAGGUGAGUUUAAAGCAAAUUUUUUUUCCUUUUAAAAAAGUGUUCCAGACUCACCUGCUACAGUCACUUCAUGUUUUGGCACAAGCUCUCAUAUGCUCGGUGUCUGUUUGGCUUGGCUGUGACUCAGUGCAGGUGAACCCUGUGCAUGUCAGCAUUAUGUUGCUGGGGGGAGAAAGAAAUGCCUCAGUAUAAAACAGUAUUAAACUGAAACAUCUGACCACAUCCGGUUUUCUCUCCUCUUCCUCACCCUCACAUUAUUUUGACAACAGGCAGAAUUUCUCAGAUUAUCUUUGGGAUUUAAGUGUGACUGGUUUACCUUGGAGAAGAGAGUGAAGCUUGAAGAGAGGUCCCGUGACUUGGCAGAAGAAAAUUUGAAGAAAGAAAUCACUAACUGUUUAAAACUAUUAGAGUCUUUAACACCUCUGUGUGAAGAUGACAACCAGGCACAGGAAAUCAUUAAGAAGCUGGAGAAGAGUAUAAAGUUUCUUAGCCAGUGUGCAGCACGAGUGGCCAGUAGGGCUGAGAUGUUGGGAGCCAUCAAUCAGGUAACCUGUCUUCAUUUCUCUAGUUAGAAUGAAAUUACAAAAAAGAUUCACUUUUCCUGAGACUAUGGAUUUCUCACUUCUAGGAAUAAGUUUUAAAAAAUACUUUUGUUGUAUAAGACAUAUGCGUUUAAUACAUAUGUGUUUAAUACAGAAAAAAUGGAAUAUAC